CCCCCCCCCCCACUCCCUCCUGCUGCAUUCCUCUUUCUGCUUUCCUCGUAAAUCCCAGAGCAGUCCCAAGAGGGCCGUAACACCGGGAACGCCUUUCUCCAGCAGUUAUGGCUGUCCGUGGUCAAAUGCUUGCAGUGACACAAGAGAACCCCAGACCGUCUGUCAUGCUGUCCACAGUGAAACCAUCACCGGGCCAUCUGACCACGCCGCAGCUGUGACACAAUCUCUGCCUCUCUGCGUGGUGCCCGUCUGAAUGUGCAGAUUCACGUAAAGAGGCAAAGGAGACAGAAAAGGGACGGGGGGGGGGGGGGGGGGGGGACAGAGGAGGAGAAAGUGCAGCGGGCUUCUGUCACUUCCCUCGUAGUCUAAGCUCCUCUGCAGUGGCUAAAGUGGUGCUGGAAGGGGAAGCCAGAAUACCGGACACAAAAAUGACCUCUUGGCAUUUCGACCUUUUUGCUACCCGCGAGGCUGGUAGUGUUGACAGGACCCUGGUGGGGGAAGGGUAAACAAACGAGCCACAUGGAAAAGAACUCCAGGAAGCCGCAAGCCAGGAAGUAAAACAAAAACACAGAGAAACUUUCUUUAUAGCCACUCAAUCCAGAUUUGCAUGAAAUACAGACAAUACGGGUUGUCUGACUGCUCCUUAAUUUCACAAUAGUAAAACUUGAUUCCAAGA